AGAGUUUGAUCCUGGCUCAGGAUGAACGCUAGCGGCAGGCUUAACACAUGCAAGUCGAGGGGCAGCAUAAUGGAUAGCAAUAUCUAUGGUGGCGACCGGCGCACGGGUGCGUAACGCGUAUGCAACCUACCUUUAACAGGGGGAUAACACUGAGAAAUUGGUACUAAUACCCCAUAAUAUCAUAGAAGGCAUCUUUUAUGGUUGAAAAUUUCCGAUGGUUAGAGAUGGGCAUGCGUUGUAUUAGCUAGUUGGUGGGGUAACGGCUCACCAAGGCGACGAUACAGUAGGGGGACUGAGAGGUUAACCCCCCANACUGGUACUGAGACACGGACCAGACUCCGUACGGGAGGCA
rnacentral:rRNA from 1 species